GGGGGCGUUGGCGAUGAGAUCAAGCAAGGGAUAAGCAUGUAGAAGCCUGGGCUGAAAGCUUUCGGACGGGGGUUCGAUUCCCCCCGCCUCCACCA
rnacentral:tRNA from 1 species